CUUUUAUAUUCAACUGUUCCCUGAGUCGGUCACAAAAAAUCAACUAGAGAAAUAAUCAAGUUUUAUCGUAUUAAUCGGCGAGUUUUAUUACUUUAUACCGGCAUAUUAUUUCAAUAUCAUGCUGAGGGUAAGGAACCAAAGGGCAUCUAAGGCGAGAAGCCCAUACGCAGCCGUGCCAAAUGGAACAAAUACAGUUGCCUCGAGUAGUGUAUUGGCACGAGGUCGUCGCGGAAAUCGUCGAGGAGGUCAAGUGAGACAGCCCGUUGCAAACAUCUCCAAUAUUAAUGCUCCUCCGACACAAGCGACUCCUCCAACACCUGCGGCUCCGACGACACCAGCGACACAGGCGUCAACUGAAGCAGGCCAGGGAAUGUCACGGAGCGGGAUGAUUGGGAUGAUUCCUCACAACAUGCCGCCCAUAGUUAACCCCACCCCUGACGCACCAAGUGCGUUGUCGUCACAUGUUCCCACCAACAUGAAUCAAGGAAUCGACAACAAACCACAGGACAGCAAACCUACAUGUAACUUGUUACAUAAAUUAUGGGAUAUUGGCAGCACUCCAAUCAAUACAUCUAACUUCGAUUCUUUACUGAUUCAGUUUGGAUCAUUGGCUCAUCUAUUAUUCAUUGGGCACAGAAAUAUGCAGAGACCACAAAUCAGUUAAACCUUGGAUUAAACCACUUUACCAUUAAUUGGAAUGGUAGAAGGGGAAUGGUUUGGGAGUACUUGUAUACAACUGUGUCAACAGACCUCUUGCCAAACACUCUAAUUGUAUGGUCACAUAUAUUACCUAUAUAGAAGUAAUUGGAGGCAGUCUUUAUCAACCAUUGAAGGUGAAAACUCUAGGCGUAGAAUAAAUAGUGCCAUUGCAACAUUUGUUUUGAAAAAGCUUAAUGGUGCAUCUAUCAAAUAUCCAGAUAUCCAGAUAACUCAAAAGCGAUUAUUUAGAUUAGAUGGUGUGCAUUUGUCAGAUCUGGGUAACAAUAUAUACAUAAAUUCCCUGAAAAAUGCUAUUGUGCAGUUUGUGACAUCUUCCUCUCGCACCUAUCCUUAAAAUAUACUAGCUGAUAUAUCUGUGGCAAGUCAUGGUCCGUUUAAUUAUCUAUCUUAUUAUAUAUCAUAUACAUAUAUCUGAAUCUAGAAUGUCCAAGUAUAGACAUUCUUAUGUAUCAUAUCUACAGGUGUCAUUGUUGUCAAAAUUGCCGCCUGGUAUUGGCGGAUGGUUCACGUGACAGUGUCCGUGAUCCAUUUGGCAUAAUUUUGAUUAGAAUACUGUCUCCGUGGGGCACUGUUUUUUCCAGGCUCCUCGGGUCAAGAGAGUAUUUCUAAUAUUGUAUAUUACAUAUAUAUAUUUGAUAUAUGCUGCCAUAUUGUUUGAACGGCGCAUGUCGAGUUCAAUGUACAUGUAUGAAAUCUAUCUGAUGUACAUGUACUAUAUAUCUGACUGAUAUCUAUCUGAUAUUCAUGUACUUAUCUAAUUUUUGCACAUUUGAUUAAACGGCCAUGACAACUACGCCAAACAAACAAAAGUCUAUUUAGUUUUGUAUAUACAUCAAGGUAAAUAUCUGAAUCAUAAUUGUCUGUUGUUAUGAAAUUGGUAUUAGCUAGAAACAUGAAAAGCAUAUUUAUUUGGGCAAAGGUCAUGAAAUAAUUAGGUUUAUCAAAUAUGGAUAAACCCUGUUAUUUCAUGCAGUUAAGCAUAUUGUUUGGGGCAAGAACUAUAACUCUAGUAAUGUUAAUUCAAGGGCAAUAACUCUACACUUCCUGGUCUUGGAGCGUGCGCGUUAAGCUCUUCCUUUUAUAUUCAACUGUUCCCUGAGUCGGUCACAAAAAAUCCCCUCCCACCCAAACCCAUUAUUUAGAAUUAGGUUGCAUGGUUAUAAUUUAUUAUAAAUUUCCAUUUAAACUACUUGUGAAUAGUUGCAUAGGUAUUGUUUUUGUACAAUUAUAAAUUGUGAAUAGUUUUUUCGGGUUGAGUUUUCUUUUGCAGCGUCAUGGCCAUGAAGAAUAGAAGAAAGAUGUGCUGGAAAGUGAAUAUGGACAAAGAAUGGUUUUGCAGGUCAUCUGUAUUCAAGGACUCGGCAACAAAGUGCAUAAUUUUGAUUAGAAUACUGUCUCCGUGGGGCACUGUUUUUUCCAGGCUCCUCGGGUCAAGAGAGUAUUUCUAAUAUUGUAUAUUACAUAUAUAUAUUUGAUAUAUGCUGCCAUAUUGUUUGAACGGCGCAUGUCGAGUUCAAUGUACAUGUAUGAAAUCUAUCUGAUGUACAUGUACUAUAUAUCUGACUGAUAUCUAUCUGAUAUUCAUGUACUUAUCUAAUUUUUGCACAUUUGAUUAAACGGCCAUGACAACUACGCCAAAC
rnacentral:misc_RNA from 1 species